rnacentral:rRNA from 1 species
UUAGGAAUCUUCCACAAUGGGCGCAAGCCUGAUGGAGCGACACUGCGUGAGGGAAGAAGGCUUUCGGGUUGUAAACCUCUAAAAGUAGGACGAUAAUGACGGUACUACUUGAGAAGCACCGGCUAACUCCGUGCCAGCAGCCGCGGUAAUACGGAGGGUGCAAACGUUAUCCGGAAUCACUGGGCGUAAAGGGCACGCAGGCGGUUAGUUAAGUCCGAUGUUAAAGCGUGGGGCUCAACCCCAUACGGGCGUUGGAUACUGGCUAACUAGACUCUUGGAGAGGUAAGUAGAAUUACCAGUGUAGCGGUGGAAUGCGUAGAUACUGGUAGGAAUACCAAUAGCGAAGGCAGCUUACUAGACAAUGAGUGACGCUGAGGUGCGAAAGUGUGGGGAGCAAACC